rnacentral:sRNA from 1 species
UACUAGCCCCGAUAGAAGCGGCAUCCUUUUUUAAGGGCAUUUUUUUGACCUUAAAAAAGAUAGAGCGAAUAGCGGGUCCAGUC